UUAUGCCGCAGCUGAGGCCGUGCAGCUCAUCGCAUCGGUGCCGGGCGGCGGUGGGAUGGGGGCCGCGCUCCCCCCGGCCCUGGGCAGCAGCCAAAAGUCCAGAGCCGAAAAGUAGUGGUGAUUGAUGGCAGCGUUUGCCGGAGCCGCCCAUUGGGAACGUUAAGCACUGGGCAACCCCAAGAAGGCUCAGCAGCGCAUGGGGUGGGCUCAGGGAGAAAAGGCAGAGCAACACCAACAGCUCCAGCAGCAGCGUGGGGGAAAUUAAACAGAGAUAUAACUUAAAAAGCUCUGGAGGGGCGACUGCUUCAUUCAGUGCACUCUGCAUCACACAGAACCCCCUCCUCAGGCAUCAACCGGCCCUGAAACCAAAGGAAAACCAAUGAGAAGAACCCAAAUCCCCCAAUGCGCCCCAAUCCUGCAGCCCCACGGACUCCCAUCUGCUCAGCACUUGAGAACAGUCACCUCAAAUUAAAUGAACAACUCUGCGUUCUCCAUAGGAAAGGCCUGCUCGGGGAGGAGGAGGACAAAAUAAAGCUCAUAAAUAUGUA